rnacentral:rRNA from 1 species
UACAGAGGUCCCAAGCGUUGUUCGGAUUCACUGGGCGUAAAGGGUGCGUAGGUGGUCGGGUAAGUCCGAUGUGAAAUCUCCAGGCUCAACCUGGAAAUGGCAUUGGAUACUAUCUGGCUUGAGGAGUGGAGGGGGGACUGGAAUUCUCGGUGUAGCAGUGAAAUGCGUAGAUAUCGAGAGGAACACCAGUGGCGAAGGCGAGUCCCUGGACACUUCCUGACACUGAGGCACGAAAGCUAGGGGAGCAAACAGG